rnacentral:rRNA from 1 species
UACAGAAGCCUCAAGCAUUACCCGGAUUUACUGGGCGUAAAGGGUUCGUAGGCGGUUAUAUUAGUCGGAUGUUAAAUCCUGAGGCUCAACCUCAGGUUCGCAUUCGAAACGGUAUAACUAGAAGAAGUGAGAGGUAAACAGAACUCUCGGUGUAGGGGUGAAAUCCGUUGAUAUCGAGGGGAAUACCAAAUGCGAAGGCAGUUUACUGGCACUUUCUUGACGCUGAGGAACGAAAGCGUGGGUAGCGAAUCGG